GACUAACACUGGGCUGUUUAACACCUCAGACUCAGCAGCUGUAGAUUCUUCAGUUGAGGCCUUUUCUCAGUGAGAGUAGAGGAGACUGGGGAACAGACUAACACUGGGCUGUUUAACACCUCAGACUCAGCAGCUGUAGAUUCUUCAGUUGAGGCCUUUUCUCAGUAAGAGUAGAUGAGACUGGGGAACAGACUAACACUUUUAGACUCUAGUUUAUUAUGAAAAUAUUAUUUAAGUUAAAAUAAUUAAGAAUUAAAUUAAUUCUCUGCCCCCCUAUUAUACAACAGAAAUGUUUAUUUGUGUAUUUAUACUACCACGGUACCCAACCCUCUGAUAUGUGUAUUUAUACUACCACAAUACCCUCUGAAAUGUGUAUUUAUACUACCACAGUACCCUCUGAUUUGUGUAUUUAUACUACCACAGUACCCUCUGAUAUGUGUAUUUAUACUACCACAGUACCCUCUGAUUUGUGUAUUUAUACUACCACAGUACCCUCUGAUAUGUGUAUUUAUACUACCACAGUACCCUCUGAUGUGUGUAUUUAUACUACCACAGUACCCAACCCUCUUAUAUGUGUAUUUAUACUACAACAGUACCCUCUGAUAUGUGUAUUUAUACUACCACAGUACCCUCUGAUAUGUGUAUUUAUACUACCACAGUACCCUCUGAUAUGUGUAUUUAUACUACCACAGUACCCUCUAUGUGUAUUUAUACUACCACAGUACCCUCUGAUAUGUGUAUUUAUACUACCACAGUACCCUCUAUGUGUAUGUAUACUACCACAGUACCCUCUGAUGUGUAUUUAUACUACCACAGUACCCUCUAUGUGUAUUUAUACUACCACAGUACCCUCUGAUGUGUAUUUAUACUACCACAGUACCCUCUGAUAUGUGUAUUUAUA
rnacentral:lncRNA from 1 species